rnacentral:rRNA from 1 species
UAGUGAUAGCUGGUUGUUCAGGAAAAGAGUUUUAGCUCUACCUUAAGUUUACUUAUGUAUUCAACUAAACCCUUAACUUAAGAGCUAUUCAAAUAAGGCACAGCUUAUUUGAACCAGGACACAACCUCUAACACCGGGUAAACAAGGUAAUUCAAAUAAAGUUGGCCUAAAAGCAGCCACCUUUCAAAAAGCGUCAUAGCUUAACUUUACCACCAACAAUACUUUAAACCCCACGAACCCUUAACCUCUACUGAACUAUUUUAUACUACUAUAAAAAAUAUUAUGCUAGAACUAGUAACAAGAAAAUACUUUUCUCCUAAAUGUAAGUAUAAACCAAAACGGACCCACCAUUGGUAAUUAACGUAAAUGCAACCAUUAUAGCAACACAUAACUAGAAAAUCCUAUAAUACAUCACGUUAACCUCACACCAGAACAUUACAGGAAAGAUUAAAAGAGAAAGAAGGAACUCGGCAAACUUAGCCCAGCCUGUUUACCAAAAACAUCGCCUCUUGACACCAUAAGAGGUCCAGCCUGCCCAGUGACACAAUUUAACGGCCGCGGUAUCCUAACCGUGCGAAGGUAGCAUAAUCACUUGUUCUCUAAAUAAGGACUAGUAUCAACGGCAUCACGAGGGCUAUACUGUCUCCUUUCUCCAAUCAGUGAAACUAAUCCCCCCGUGAAGAAGCGGGGAUUUGAAUAUAAGACGAGAAGACCCCAUGGAGCUUAAAGCACUAUAUUCACCACUUCUCUUACAACAACUUAAUCCAAAACCUGAAUAUUAGCUUUUGGCUGGGGGGGCCGCGGAGUAAAACCCAACCUCCGCAACAAAUGGGCUACGCCCUUAUCUAAGAGUUACGACUCUAAGAAUCAACAAACUGAUGUACUUUGACCCGAUAAUCGAUCAACGAACCAAGUUACCCUGGGGAUAACAGCGCUAUCUACUUCAAGAGCUCAUAUCGACAAGUAGGUUUACGACCUCGAUGUUGGAUCAGGGUAUCCCAGUGGUGCAGCCGCUACUAACGGUUCGUUUGUUCAACGAUUAAAACCCU